GAUGAACGCUGGCGGCGUGCCUAAUACAUGCAAGUCGAGCGAACGGACGAGAAGCUUGCUUCUCUGAUGUUAGCGGCGGACGGGUGAGUAACACGUGGAUAACCUACCUAUAAGACUGGGAUAACUUCGGGAAACCGGAGCUAAUACCGGAUAAUAUUUUGAACCGCAUGGUUCAAAAGUGAAAGACGGCCUUGCUGUCACUUAUAGAUGGAUCCGCGCUGCAUUAGCUAGUUGGUAAGGUAACGGCUUACCAAGGCAACGAUGCAUAGCCGACCUGAGAGGGUGAUCGGCCACACUGGAACUGAGACACGGUCCAGACUCCUACGGGAGGCAGCAGUAGGGAAUCUUCCGCAAUGGGCGAAAGCCUGACGGAGCAACGCCGCGUGAGUGAUGAAGGUCUUCGGAUCGUAAAACUCUGUUAUUAGGGAAGAACAUAUGUGUAAGUAACUGUGCACAUCUUGACGGUACCCAAUCAGAAAGCCACGGCUAACUACGUG
rnacentral:rRNA from 1 species